GACGAACGCUGGCGGCGUGCUUAACACAUGCAAGUCGAACGAGACCUUCGGGUCUAGUGGCGCACGGGUGCGUAACGCGUGGGAAUCUGCCCUCUGGUACGGAAUAACUCAGGGAAACUUGAGCUAAUACCGUAUAAUGACUUCGGUCCAAAGAUUUAUCGCCUGAGGAUGAGCCCGCGUAGGAUUAGCUAGUUGGUGAGGUAAAAGCUCACCAAGGCGACGAUCCUUAGCUGGCUGAGAGGAUGAUCAGCCACACUGGGACUGAGACACGGCCCAGACUCCUACGGGAGGCAGCAGUGGGGAAUAUUGGACAAUGGGCGAAAGCCUGAUCCAGCAAUGCCGCGUGAGUGAUGAAGGCCUUAGGGUUGUAAAGCUCUUUUACCCGGGAUGAUAAUGACAGUACCGGAGAAUAAGCCCC
rnacentral:rRNA from 1 species